rnacentral:miRNA from 1 species
ACUCGACGUAGCGCCCGCACUC